rnacentral:lncRNA from 10 species
ACACAUCACACAUUCAGACAUAAAUUACAUCAAAAUGGGUCAACAUUUAAAUGUAAAAUGUAGAAUAUAACAUGAGAGAAAAUCUUCAGGACCUCAGAUUUGGUGAAGAAUUUCUAGCCAUGACACCAGAAGCAUGAUGCAAAAAAGAAAAAUUGAUAAGUUUUACUUCAUCAAAAUUAAAAACUUUCACCCUGGGAAUAGACAAGCUACAGACUGGGAGAAAACAUUUGCAAAUCACUGACAAAGGAUUCAUAUCUAAAAUAAACAAUUCCCAAAACUCAACAGUAAACAACAACAAGGCAGUCCUCUAGGUCUUAGUUCCAAAGAGAGAGAUGCUUCCACCAGGAGACACAACACUGAUUUCAUUGCACUGGAAUUUAAAACUGCUGCCUGGCUGCUUUGGCUUCCUCAUGCUUCCAAAGCAACAGACAAAGAAGGGGGUUACAUUGCUGGCUGGGGUGAGUGAUCCUGACUACCAAGGGGAAAUUGGACUACUACUCUACAAUGGAGCUUGAUUAUGAAGAGGACAUUAGACAAACGCCAGUGAAGAAGCAUCCUACAAAAUACUCGACCAGAGCUCCUCAAAACUGUUAUGCUCAUCAAAAACGUCUGAGAAACUGUCCCACCCGAAAGGACACUGAGGAGAUAUGACAACUACAUGUAAUAUGGUAUCUGGGUAAGAUUCUGCAACAGAAGAAGGAUAUUCGGUAAAAAUAAGGAAAUCUGAAUAAACUAUGGAUGUUGGUUAAUAAAAAUACAUCAGCAUUGGUUCAUUCAUGGUAACAAAUGCUCUGUACAUUAAAAAAUCCAGAGCAAAGCCCUACUUCCUUAAGCCUUGAAUGCUGUAGUAAGUCCUUUCUGACACAUUCUUAGUGAGAUGUCCCAUGAAGUGUGUUCUCUCUCAAUGCCACGUGUAAUAACACAACUCCAGGUGUAUUUAUAGUGCUCUUUGGCAUUGGCAAAGCCAUGAUUCAAUCAAAUCCAUGAUGACCCUUAACAGGCUGACAGUGGGGAGUUUUAGAUUUAUGUUUUCUGAGAAGAAAUCCUGUUUUUGGCUUAGUGUUGUUGUUCUUAUUUUUAUUUUUUAAACUUUUAUUCAAAAUAUCAUGCUCUUUUUUAAUAGUAUAGAUUCUCAACAAGACUAAGUAUUUCUCUAAUUGACCUCAAGAUGGCAGGCUUGAAUAAAAGAUAUUUCCAUUUUAAAGUUCUGGGCUUCUCAAAAAUUCUCUUUGAAUUUGGAAUUACA